rnacentral:rRNA from 1 species
AAGUCGAACGCGAAAGUUCCCUUCGGGGGGCGAGUAGAGUGGCGCACGGGUGAGUAACACGUAGGUAAUCUACCUUUGGAUUGGGAAUAACAACCGGAAACGGUUGCUAAUACCGAAUAAUGCAGCGGCACCUAAUGGUGACAGUUGUUAAAGAGGGGGAUCGCAAGACCUCGCGUCUGAAGAGGAGCCUGCGGCAGAUUAGCUAGUUGGUAAGGUAACGGCUUACCAAGGCGAUGAUCUGUAGCCGGCCUGAGAGGGCGGUCGGCCACACUGACACUGACAUACGGGUCAGACUCCUACGGGAGGCAGCAGUCGGGAAUUUUGGGCAAUGGGCGAAAGCCUGACCCAGCAACGCCGCGUGAAGGAUGAAAUCCUUCGGGAUGUAAACUUCGCAAGAACGGGAAGAAUAAGUGAGGGUUAAUAUCUCUCAUGAUGACGGUACUGUUUGUAAGCUCCGGCUAACUCCGUGCCAGCAGCCGCGGUAAUACGGGGGGAGCAAGCGUUGUUCGGAUUUACUGGGCGUAAAGGGCGCGUAGGCGGCCACCGCAAGUCGGUUGUGAAAUCUCCGGGCUUAACCCGGAAAGGUCAAUCGAUACUGCGGGGCUAGAGUGCAGAAGGGGCAACUGGAAUUCUCGGUGUAGCGGUGAAAUGCGUAGAUAUCGAGAGGAACACCUGCGGCGAAGGCGGGUUGCUGGGCUGACACUGACGCUGAAGCGCGAAAGCUAGGGGAGCGAACGGGAUUAGAUACCCCGGUAGUCCUAGCCUUAAACGAUGAAUGCUUGGUGUCUGGGGUUUUAUAGUCCCCGGGUGCCGUCGCUAACGCUUUAGCAUUCCG